GACGAACGUCGGCGGCGUGCUUAACACAUGCAAGUCGAACGGAAAGGCCCUGCUUUUGUGGGGUGCUCGAGUGGCGAACGGGUGAGUAACACGUGAGUAACCUGCCCUUGACUUUGGGAUAACUUCAGGAAACUGGGGCUAAUACCGGAUAGGAGCUCCUGCUGCAUGGUGGGGGUUGGAAAGUUUCGGCGGUUGGGGAUGGACUCGCGGCUUAUCAGCUUGUUGGUGGGGUAGUGGCUUACCAAGGCUUUGACGGGUAGCCGGCCUGAGAGGGUGACCGGCCACAUUGGGACUGAGAUACGGCCCAGACUCCUACGGGAGGCAGCAGUGGGGAAUAUUGCACAAUGGGCGGAAGCCUGAUGCAGCAACGCCGCGUGCGGGAUGACGGCCUUCGGGUUGUAAACCGCUUUCGCCUGUGACGAAGCGUGAGUGACGGUAAUGGGUAAAGAAGCACCGGCUAACUACGUGCCAGCAGCCGCGGUGAUACGUAGGGUGCGAGCGUUGUCCGGAUUUAUUGGGCGUAAAGGGCUCGUAGGUGGUUGAUCGCGUCGGAAGUGUAAUCUUGGGGCUUAACCCUGAGCGUGCUUUCGAUACGGGUUGACUUGAGGAAGGUAGGGGAGAAUGGAAUUCCUGGUGGAGCGGUGGAAUGCGCAGAUAUCAGGAGGAACACCAGUGGCGAAGGCGGUUCUCUGGGCCUUUCCUGACGCUGAGGAGCGAAAGCGUGGGGAGCGAACAGGCUUAGAUACCCUGGUAGUCCACGCUGUAAACGGUGGGUACUAGGUGUGGGGUCCAUUCCACGGGUUCCGUGCCGUAGCUAACGCUUUAAGUACCCCGCCUGGGGAGUACGGCCGCAAGGCUAAAACUCAAAGGAAUUGACGGGGCCCCGCACAAGCGGCGGAGCAUGCGGAUUAAUUCGAUGCAACGCGUAGAACCUUACCUGGGUUUGACAUGGAUCGGGAGUGCUCAGAGAUGGGUGUGCCUCUUUUGGGGUCGGUUCACAGGUGGUGCAUGGCUGUCGUCAGCUCGUGUCGUGAGAUGUUGGGUUAAGUCCCGCAACGAGCGCAACCCUUGUUCACUGUUGCCAGCACGUUAUGGUGGGGACUCAGUGGAGACCGCCGGGGUCAACUCGGAGGAAGGUGGGGAUGACGUCAAGUCAUCAUGCCCCUUAUGUCCAGGGCUUCACGCAUGCUACAAUGGCUGGUACAGAGAGUGGCGAGCCUGUGAGGGUGAGCGAAUCUCGGAAAGCCGGUCUCAGUUCGGAUUGGGGUCUGCAACUCGACCUCAUGAAGUCGGAGUCGCUAGUAAUCGCAGAUCAGCAACGCUGCGGUGAAUACGUUCCCGGGGCU
rnacentral:rRNA from 1 species